rnacentral:tRNA from 1 species
GCCCCGCUAGCUCAAUCGGUAGAGCGUGAGACUUUUACAAGCCUCUUUAUAAGCAAGGGUCACGUGAUCUCAAGGCCGCGGGUUCGACCCCCGCGCGGGGCU